rnacentral:misc_RNA from 1 species
UACGGAGGGGACUAGCGUUAAUCGGAAUUACUGGGCGUAAAGUGCGCGUAGGCGGUCGAGUAAGUCGGAUGUGAAAGCCCCGGGCUUAACCUGGGAAUUGCAUUCGAUACUGCUGGACUCGAGUGCAGUAGAGGAGAGUGGAAUUUCCGGUGUAGCGGUGAAAUGCGUAGAUAUCGGAAGGAACACCAGUGGCGAAGGCGACUCUCUGGACUGACACUGACGCUGACAGCGCGAAAGCGUGGGGAGCAAACAGG